rnacentral:lncRNA from 1 species
UAUGUGAAUUUUUUUCUUUUGUACCUGUUCCAAACACAGGUCUUAAAUCAUUGUAUCUUCUUUGCAGCUCUCAAAGUGUUCUCUGGACCAGUGAUACUAGCACCACCUGGCCUUGUGAGGAAGGAAAAGGGGAACAGGAAGGAAGUUUCUAACAUUGGAAAGUACACACCAAGUGUCAUAUGAGAGGAAGAAGCUGCCAGUGGGUUCUGCUUUAGUCACUGUGGUGAGAAUCCCCCCACUCUGCAGAGCCAUGGGCACUCUCAGCCCAAGGCUGGAGGUCUACAGUUCUGGUGCAGGACCUGGUGUGGCCUCAGCAGCUGCCGGUGCUUUCAUUGUGCUCACAGCUUCCUCUCCCUCUGC